UACGAAGGGGGCGAGCGUUGUUCGGAAUUACUGGGCGUAAAGGGCGCGUAGGCGGCCUGCUAAGUCGAACGUGAAAUCCCCGAGCUCAACUCGGGAACUGCGUCCGAUACUGGCAGGCUUGAAUCCGGGAGAGGGAUGCGGAAUUCCAGGUGUAGCGGUGAAAUGCGUAGAUAUCUGGAGGAACACCGGUGGCGAAGGCGGCAUCCUGGACCGGCAUUGACGCUGAGGCGCGAAAGCCAGGGGAGCAAACGGG
rnacentral:rRNA from 1 species